UGCAGUCGAGCGGUAGGCCUUUCGGGGUACACGAGCGGCGAACGGGUGAGUAACACGUGGGUGAUCUGCCCUGCACUUCGGGAUAAGCCUGGGAAACUGGGUCUAAUACCGGAUAUGACCUCAGGUUGCAUGACUUGGGGUGGAAAGAUUUAUCGGUGCAGGAUGGGCCCGCGGCCUAUCAGCUUGUUGGUGGGGUAAUGGCCUACCAAGGCGACGACGGGUAGCCGACCUGAGAGGGUGACCGGCCACACUGGGACUGAGACACGGCCCAGACUCCUACGGGAGGCAGCAGUGGGGAAUAUUGCACAAUGGGCGAAAGCCUGAUGCAGCGACGCCGCGUGAGGGAUGACGGCCUUCGGGUUGUAAACCUCUUUCAGCAGGGACGAAGCGCAAGUGACGGUACCUGCAGAAGAAGCACCGGCUAACUACGUGCCAGCAGCCGCGGUAAUACGUAGGGUGCAAGCGUUGUCCGGAAUUACUGGGCGUAAAGAGUUCGUAGGCGGUUUGUCGCGUCGUUUGUGAAAACCAGCAGCUCAACUGCUGGCUUGCAGGCGAUACGGGCAGACUUGAGUACUGCAGGGGAGACUGGAAUUCCUGGUGUAGCGGUGAAAUGCGCAAAUAUCGGGAGGAACACCGGUGGCGAAAGGCGGGUCU
rnacentral:rRNA from 1 species